GUCUGCAUCCAACUUGGACUGAAUUCAUCUCAUCUUGGAAGCAUAGGCAACCUUAGCCAUGACUAGUACUUGGAUAGGAGACCAGCCGGGAAUUCUUUGUGCUGAAGUCA
rnacentral:rRNA from 1 species